GUGAAAUUACGUAAAUAAUAACACUUUUCGAGCCAGGCAUCAAAGCUGAACAAUUUUCUGUUCUCCAUACUUGAGGUAAAAUAUUUUGUUUGAACCAAACAUAAACAAAUCCGUUUUGAAGGCCAAACAGAAAGUCACUCGAAACAUGCUUCCAAAAUUGUACAGCGUAUCAUCGGUUGUUAAUUUAUUAUAUACAAACGUAAUCCGAGUCAUUUAAUGACAACGAGAUGUUCCACACGCACAUUGUUUCGACCUUUCCAGAUUGGGCUGUAUGUGCACACGGUGAUAGCUGCAGUAACAAUCAUAUCAAUAUGUAUAUGAAUACAUAAAUAGUUUCCAUAAUCCAAAAUAUGUUCCUUAUUUAAACCUUCAAGAAACAGUAUGCCGUGACCAUUCCUGUGUGUAUUUACAGAGAAAACCUUUCGGUAUUUUGUGAACUUCAGUGUCAAGGACAACAAUUGGGUUCAAUUCCAACUCAGCAAUCAUCACUCAUGGACUAAAUACAUAUUAAAGCUACAAAUAUUCAUAUAUACAACCGAUAUUAGCAGUACGUGCUCAUUUGGAGCCAGGAAAAAUUCCUUGUGGUUAGUCCAAGCAACCAUUUCUUCACGUAAAUGCUUUUGGCAUAUGUUAUUUUGAGUAGAAAACACACGCGUUACUUGGGCCAAAAUGAAGAUAAUGAGGUAUUUAUGAAACUUCUGAUUCCUGCUUAGCACGCCAAUCUUUAAGUAAUAUAAUGUGUUCCUUUAAUGUGAAGGGUCAGUGAGGAAUGUUCAACAUUGAUUCUGCUUGUAGAUUUCCAGUCUGAAAUAUGACACUCACAAAUCUAAGCACAAAUGGACUUGUCAACCCAAGAAAUCCAAAAAAUUAUUCUUCAGCAUAAAGUGUGCUUUUUACCUGAAACACAACAUUUUACAUUUAACGUUAGUUUUCAUAGAAGGAUCUUAUUAUAAUAACGUCACAACAUUAUAUUCAUAUAUACCCUUGAUAUCAGUGUGAUUCUUACAAAUGAAUACCUUGUUUUAGAACACAACGUAAAAAGGAAGGUUUUGCCUCUCGUUUUACAAAAUA